rnacentral:lncRNA from 1 species
CCUUCUUCCCGGCGAGUCAUCGCCGGAAAUCCAUCUCUCUCUCCCUCGCAUACAUCGGUAACCACCCAAACACUCACCUCUCAAUCUCUCUCGAAUCUCCUCCGGCGAAGAACCGUCGGUCAGUCACCUCCCUCAACGUUUCACUACAGCGCCGUUGUUCCUGCUGCUCCGGCGACUCACGACGAGGCCACCGCCGAUUGCUGCUGUUUGUGGAAGCGCCGCCGACUGCUGCUGUUCGUGGAGUCCGCCGCCGACUGCUGCUGUUCUGAAGUUGGCCGCCGACUGCUGCUGUUCUGGUAUCGCGGGCUGCUGUUGCAGAGCUCCGACAGCCACCACCGUCGUCGGCUGCCGCUGCCUCGCCCAAGGCCGACUUCUGCUACCAAGCACCGAACGCCGCUGCUGUAGGGAGGCCGGCGAACAGUCGGGUGUUCGCCGUUUCCAGUUCUUCUCCGAGUUCCGAAGCCGGUGAGAGCUCCAUCAUCGCGUCGUCUCGUUCGUCUCUCGGCCCAACUGAACAGGUCGUGGAGCAACAAGGCGAGCUUCUCGCCUGAACCCACCGCCAAGCACCGAGUCGCUGCUGCUCGUCGUCUCUCGAUCAGCCUGAACAGGCCGCGUCCCUUCUUCCUAAAGCUAAGUUAUAUCCUUGACUCGUCUUCUUCCUACCAUGUAUGAGUAUCGAUAAGCUUAAGCUUCUAUGAGUAAGAAAGAAUCAGGGUUUAACACUCUGUCAGUGAGCAUGCUAUCGCUAUCCUUGUUCGUUCAUUCAUGUGCUAUGUGUGAGGUCCUCAUGGUUUGUGUUCUAGAGUGCAGUGGCAGUAUACACAUAAGUCUUUCUAUUGCUAUACAUAACAUGGACUGUUUGAUGUAGUGGUAAAACAUGAUUAUGCUCGUUGGUAUGAAUGCGAACUCGAUUGGAUAACUGAGGUAGUAUAAAUACCUUGAAUGAUGCUUGCUUUGGUGUUUGUUGGCUGUUGUGGUUGGAUUAAAUGAAGCAGCAGAUCGAACUGAAAUAAUAAAGUUGUUCUUGCAUUAAUGCAGGUGGAAUAAGGGAAGAAGGUGGAGCAUUGAAGACAAGCUUACCUUGAGAAUACUUGGUAGGAUGAAUUAAAGGCUCACUUCUCCUUGUGCAGUCCUCAAAUGAAGAAUGAAGAGAAUGCAACAAUGUUGGCUGUUUUGAAUGACGAGGUGGUUUGGCUGGGAGCUUGUAUACAUGGGAGGAGGUACAUUCUAGGGUGGCUGAUUGACAUAUUUAGGUGUACUUGGGUAUGGCAGCCUGCUGCAUAGGCGUGGGAAAAGAAAG